AGCUCAGAUUGAACGCUGGCGGCAGGCCUAACACAUGCAAGUCGAGCGGAUGAAGGGAGCUUGCUCCUGGAUUCAGCGGCGGACGGGUGAGUAAUGCCUAGGAAUCUGCCUGGUAGUGGGGGAUAACGUCCGGAAACGGGCGCUAAUACCGCAUACGUCCUGAGGGAGAAAGUGGGGGAUCUUCGGACCUCACGCUAUCAGAUGAGCCUAGGUCGGAUUAGCUAGUUGGUGGGGUAAAGGCCUACCAAGGCGACGAUCCGUAACUGGUCUGAGAGGAUGAUCAGUCACACUGGAACUGAGACACGGUCCAGACUCCUACGGGAGGCAGCAGUGGGGAAUAUUGGACAAUGGGCGAAAGCCUGAUCCAGCCAUGCCGCGUGUGUGAAGAAGGUCUUCGGAUUGUAAAGCACUUUAAGUUGGGAGGAAGGGCAGUAAGUUAAUACCUUGCUGUUUUGACGUUACCAACAGAAUAAGCACCGGCUAACUUCGUGCCAGCAGCCGCGGUAAUACGAAGGGUGCAAGCGUUAAUCGGAAUUACUGGGCGUAAAGCGCGCGUAGGUGGUUCAGCAAGUUGGAUGUGAAAUCCCCGGGCUCAACCUGGGAACUGCAUCCAAAACUACUGAGCUAGAGUACGGUAGAGGGUGGUGGAAUUUCCUGUGUAGCGGUGAAAUGCGUAGAUAUAGGAAGGAACACCAGUGGCGAAGGCGACCACCUGGACUGAUACUGACACUG
rnacentral:rRNA from 1 species